UUCUGAAUGAAAAGGAUAAGUGAGUCGAACACUUUCUUUUUGAUUUCAAGGCAAAUCUUCUCCG
rnacentral:tRNA from 1 species